AGCUCACAGCAAAGCCACAAGCCCCUCUCAAUGCACGCUUUAUUGUAGUGAACAAGUGAAAGAGAAAAUAGCUGAAAGGAAUCUUGAUGCCAGUAUUUCUGGGACUCUGCUUGAGCUUUGUAGACUGAAAAGAGACUAUAUGAUUAAUACGAAAUGAUUUCUGAACAUCUGCCCCAAUUUUUAUGGGAACAAAAAGAAGAAGAAUGGAGGUUGAGAGACCAUAGUUAAGGAAACCAUGCGUCCAGGAGCGGGUUAUGGCGCAUAGCAGACUUCUGCUGCUGCUGCUGUUGACAGGAAUGAUUUUUACCCACCGACCUGAAGUCCAUGCAAGAUCACAGUCUUUGCAGUUUUGCAGAAAAUGUGUUAGGAAUGCAUUGAUGAAGAGAUUUGAAAUGCAGGUACUCAAGUGCAGCGGCUCCAACGAGCUGCCCUCUUCAGUACGGCUAUGUACCGCAAUACAACCCAUAGAAUGGAAUAAUAAAACUUUCCAGGAGAAGCAUGCUGACGUACUGGCAUCCCUCCAAAUAUUACACGACGGUUUAGAGCAGGCUAUGAAAAAUCGGACAACACCGAGCUGCUUGGUUAACCUGCGUGUUAUUGUCCAGAAUUAUCUGAUACUUGUCAAAAAUAACUUUCAGAGUGGUCUGGUGACAGCGUCUCCUUCGGCAGUGCAGCACUGCUCAAAUGAAACCACACUGAAUAAAGUGGUGAAUGGCUCCAAACAGCUACUCAAAGGAAAACUUGAGAUCUUUGCUAAGGAGUGUCCACAAAACAAUAAUUAAUUAUGGAUCAUAAGGUUCAGUUAGUAGAAGGAAGGAAUCUGAUCCUGAUCCAAGAUGUGAAUGAAGUACGCUGAGAGGACCCAGGAAGAAAAGACUAGGAGUUGGAACAUUGUGGCUGUUGUGACAUUUGCAUUGAAUGCAAGGAUGUUUAAAGGUAAGAACCUGAGAGUGCUCUGCGUGCAAAUGGAAGAUGUAAACCUCACAUGGAGGAAAUGCUUCUGCAGAAAAGUUUCCAAAAGGCAACAAGAGCAGUUUUUAAAGACUCUAAUUGUACAAAUGAAAGAGAAACCUACAUCGGUGCUUGGAGACAAGUGCUAGCAAAAGCCUAAUAACAUGCUCAAAAUCACAGUGAUAACAAGCUGGAACUGACCAGGUAUAAUUUUUUACACACUGCUUUGCAUUUGAAGAAGAACACACAGUUUAGUAAGGCUGCCUUUAGUUCUGCAGAUAUUUAAUCCUAAAUCAAAAUAGUGGAUAAAUUGAAGUUUGGACCUCAUGCUGGCAUGAGAAAAAGUUAAGGGAUCACCGCAGUCAAUAUGCUCAGCUCAUUCAACUUAGUUGGGAUAUUUGAGAGUGUACUCAAGUUUGGAGCCAAACAACUGACACAUCAACAGAUUACCAUUGCCACACUCGCUGCUUGCAUGACUAAUAUUAAGACAUUCCAUUCACCUUGAAUCACUUGGAUUUAAGUGAAGGAGGCAACAGUGACACUGAUAGUAGAGUUGGUAGUGGUGGUGGUAGUGUGCUUUAGAUCGAAAAGCCCACUGUUUGUAUUUACAAAGAUAUAUUGCGCAACCAACUGUGCCAGGAAAAUUCAAAUUGGCUUUUAAGAUGAGGAAAUCUGACUAAAGUGCUAUUUACUCUCCUGGCUUUACAUCAGAAAGCCCACAGAAAAACUGUUCCCGUGCAAGGGAAUCUGUGUAAUGACUAGCUACCUAUCCCAGUGCUAAAAAUGAACAGAGCCUGUCUGUGUGCUCAUACUUGUUAUGGCAAAGUGCAACAGAAACUGUGACUGUAGCACCCUCUGUAGGUAUGAGGUUGCAUUAAUCGUAUUGUGUGCCAAUAUGCAUCAGAUAUUGUUCAUCACCGUCACCACCUGUGGAUGGCUCGCAACUCUGUGUACUUGGCCUGGAGUGCAAGAAAUCAAUUAAGUUUAUGAGAAUUUUGUAUUCUACAACAAAAGUGAUCAUGAUGACGGCGCUCAUGCCUCAUGUUCAUAAAUAACAGAUGGAUAUGUAUGGAUGCAGAGAGUAUGUGCUAUUCUGCCUUAUUUCUACAUAUUCUGCUCAUAAUGUAUGUAUGUGUUUGCUUAUUUAAUACAUGUAAAAGUGCUGCUCAGUUCAUAUAUAUAUAUAUGAACUAUAUAUAUAUAUAUAUAUACACAUAUAUAUAUAUAUAU
ensembl:lncRNA